GCCGCCGUAGCUCAGCUGGUUAGAGCGCGGGACUGUGGAGGCCCGGCUGAGGCCGCGGAGAUCCCGAGGUCCCGGGUUCAAAUCCCGGCGGCGGCC
rnacentral:tRNA from 1 species